UACGAAGGGGACUAGCGUUGUUCGGAAUCACUGGGCGUAAAGCGCACGUAGGCGGAUUUGUAAGUCAGGGGUGAAAUCCCGGGGCUCAACCUCGGAACUGCCUUUGAUACUGCGAAUCUUGAGUCCGAUAGAGGUGGGUGGAAUUCCUAGUGUAGAGGUGAAAUUCGUAGAUAUUAGGAAGAACACCGGUGGCGAAGGCGGCCCACUGGAUCGGUACUGACGCUGAGGCGCGAAAGCGUGGGGAGCAAACGGG
rnacentral:rRNA from 1 species